CGCUGAAUAUCUUCAGGAAAAUGGGUUCCAUGAGAAGUGACAUCCUCCUCAAAUCAAAAG
ensembl:misc_RNA